rnacentral:rRNA from 1 species
UACGGAGGGAGCUAGCGUUGUUCGGAAUUACUGGGCGUAGAGCGCACGUAGGCGGCUUUGUAAGUUAGAGGUGAAAGCCCGGGGCUCAACUCCGGAACUGCCUUUAAGACUGCAUCGCUUGAAUCCAGGAGAGGUGAGUGGAAUUCCGAGUGUAGAGGUGAAAUUCGUAGAUAUUCGCAAGAACACCAGUGGCGAAGGCGGCUUACUGGUCCGGUUCUGACGCUGAGGCGGCGAAAGCGUGGGGAGCAAACACGG